rnacentral:lncRNA from 1 species
UGUGUGUUUGCUUUAAAAUAUUUGGUUAAACUUAAAAAAAAUUUUUUUUUGAGACACAGUCUCACUGUCGCUCAGGUUGAGUGCAGUGGCGUGAUCAUGGCAGCCUUGACCUCCCCAGACUCAGGUGAUCCUCCCACCUCACCCUCCCCAGUGGCUGGGACCACAGGAGUACGCCAUCACGCUUGGCUAAUUUUUGCAUUUUUUUGUAGACAUGGAGUUUCAUCAUGUUGCCCAGGCCGGUCUCAAACUCCUGGGCUCAAGUGCUCCACCCACCUUGGCCUACCAAAGUGUUGGGAUUAUAGGCAUGAGCCACUGUGCCUAGCCAGGUUAAACUUUAAAUAUAGCACUUCUCUGCAUGUCAGUGAAUGUUCACUAUGAAUAAUGAUUUUUUUUAAAAGACCCAGAGAGAGAGAAAAAGAGAGAGGGAAAGAGAGAGAGAAUGAAAAGAGAGGAAUUGGGGGCAACAUUAAGUAUAUUCUGUCCUCUUGUCUUUGGGUCACACUCAAGAUACAACAUCCCAGGAGACAGCAUCCUACUGGGUGAGACUACUCCAUGUGCCUAUAAUUGUACCAGUGCAGAGAGAGGGAGCAUAUUAGCCAUAGUUUGGGGCCUCCCGAGGCAGGUCAAGUAAAAGGAAGGGGGAUCUGGAUGCCAGAAGGGCCCAAGCAACAAUAUCCUAUAGAAGUUCUAGAACCUUCAGGGUUUUUUCACCUGUUAAAUGAAGGGUAACAUUCAUGUCCUCAUUGUCUCAUCUUAGUGAGACAGAAGACCUAAAAUUUCUCUGAAAAUCAGAAAACUCUGCAUAAAACAUGGAAGGCUUCAUUCAUAAUAGUAACCCAGAGAGGCCAGCCAAAGAUGUGCUACGUUAUAUUUUAUGGAAGAAAAAUCACUUAUAGAAACUGAUGGCGAGAAACUCAGGACUUUGUUAAAUAUUCAAGACCUACAUUACAGACUGUAAAAAGAGGAGCCCACUGCCCAAUGGAGAAUGUUUUUGAAGUCCACAGAUAAUAUCGUCUACAAUUUAUUUUCUCUGCUGAAAAAAGAAACUCAUGCAGGAAACAUUUUGAAACCAAGUAAAUAAAACAGAGAUGCCCGCAAUUUCCUGCAAGUCUGACUAAAAAUAGGAAACUCUGCAAUCAUGAAAGUCGCUCAUCUGGCAGCUGCAAGUCCAUACCUUGGGAAGCUGAAAUCACUGGCAGCUGCAGAAAGCGGCAUGUGACAGGUGUUCAUCCAUGCCCUUUUGGGGGAAAAAGGCUACAUUUCAGGGGCAUAUAUGAACAAACAUAUAAGUGGC